GCGCGUAGGCGGGGUAGUAAGUCAGAUGUGAAAUCCUAUGGCUUAACCAUAGAACUGCAUUUGAAACUACUACUCUAGAGUAUGGGAGAGGUAGGUGGAAUUCUUGGUGUAGGGGUAAAAUCCGUAGAGAUCAAGAGGAAUACUCAUUGCGAAGGCGACCUGCUGGAACAUUACUGACGCUGAUGCGCGAAAGCGUGGGGAGCAAACAGGAUUAGAUACCCUGGUAGUCCACGCCCUAAACGAUGAAUGCUAGUUGUUGUGGAGCUUGUCUCUGCAGUAAUGCAGCUAACGCAUUAAGCAUUCCGCCUGGGGAGUACGGUCGCAAGAUUAAAACUCAAAGGAAUAGACGGGGACCCGCACAAGCGGUGGAGCAUGUGGUUUAAUUCGAAGAUACGCGAAGAACCUUACCUAGGCUUGACAUUGAUAGAAUCUGCUAGAGAUAGCGGAGUGCUGGCUUGCCAGAGCUUGAAAACAGGUGCUGCACGGCUGUCGUCAGCUCGUGUCGUGAGAUGUUGGGUUAAGUCCCGCAACGAGCGCAACCCUCGUCCUUAGUUGCUAACAGUUCGGCUGAGCACUCUAGGGAGACUGCCUUCGUAAGGAGGAGGAAGGUGAGGACGACGUCAAGUCAUCAUGGCCCUUACGCCUAGGGCUACACACGUGCUACAAUGGGAUGCACAAAGAGACGCAAUACCGCGAGGUGGAGCAAAUCUCAAAAACAUCUCUCAGUUCGGAUUGUAGUCUGCAACUCGACUACAUGAAGCUGGAAUCGCUAGUAAUCGUGAAUCAGCCAUGUCACGGUGAAUACGUUCCCGGGUCUUG
rnacentral:rRNA from 1 species